rnacentral:lncRNA from 1 species
UAUGUUUAUGGCUAAAUUUGUCUAAACCCUUAUAGACUCUCCUGAUCUUCUACAGAUUUCUCUUUAAAAGAUAAAAUAUUUAACAUCCACCUCUUUACUUCAAAUUACCUUUAAAAUCCAAAGACUCUAUCAUUUGGACAAAGACCUUAGAAAGUAGGAUUGUAUUCGCCUUAGGUAUUUACAAAGUCAUCGGGAUAAGAUCCACCAUAUAUACAUGGAUAGACCUCUAAAAACUUAUAUUACCCUUUUUAUC